UUUAAUAUUUUAAAUUUUAUAAAUAAAAAAAUUAAUUAUAUUAUCUUACAUUUUAAAUUAAAAUAUUUGAUUAAAAGUGAAAUAACAAAUUGAUAUUAAUUUUAAGAGAUUAAAAUAAAUUUUAAAUUAACACAAUAUACUCUAAUUUUAUUAAAAUUAUCAAAUUCCAAUUUUAACCCUAAAUUUUUAAAUUAGAAAUUCUAAUUUUACCUUAACUCCUACUCGCACUCACCGUCACUCACCGCCGCUCACCAACCCCCUUUCCCUUCCAAAACGCAAUACAUGCACAACAAACACACGCACACAGCAGAAGAAAGAAGAGAGAACGGAAGCCAGAGAAGAGAAGAGAGGAAGGACGCGCUGGCGCUAGUUGUCCUUGCAACCGCCGUCGCCGCCAAACCAACGGCGCGAGAGAGAGAAAGUUCGCAGAAGAGAGAUGCGUCAGAAAGAGAGAGAGAACUCUCACCUUGUCAUAUGGAGCCACGAGCCGCAUCACUGUCGCCGAGGGAGGAAAGAGCACGAGCUGGAGGAGCCGUUAAAGAAGUUAUCGGCUGUGAGGCAAAGAUAAUUUUCGUUGAUAAUGGGUUUCAAUUCGGUGUAUAGGAGCUUGCUUGCAAGAUAUAUUCCCCCAGGAUUCCAAAAUGAACACUCUGGCCCAUCAUGUUAAAGAAUUUUUGUUCAUACCAGAACACAUAAGGCGGUGGCUAUGAAAAUCCAAAUGAUGCUGAUCAAGCUGCUGAAAUUGUUCUCAGUGAAUUGCACAGAGACUUAAUAUUGCCACUACCAUGGAAGAGUUUUCAGAAAAGAAUUAGGAGGCAUAUAUGAAAGGGACGUGGCAUUCGCUACUACCAUUGAAGAUUUUGGAAGUGACCAUAAUAUUUUUUAUUUUGCUGCUUUAGGAGAUAAACUUCAUAUUCUUUCUUUCUCAACUACAACUAAAGAUCUUUCUUUCAAUACUAAAUUAAAUUGUGAACCUUUGAUAUAAUCAGUACUAGAGAAGUUUAGUUGGAAAUAUGCUAUUCUUUUCUAUCUCUAAAUGGAAAUGAUUGAAUUAUCAGCCUCAAUUUUAAAUCAUUCCAUGCUGUGGACAUAUGGAGUUUAUAUAUGAAUUGUGUGAGAAAUGCUGCUAUAGUUACAUCAUUUUGUUUAGGAUGCCAUCUAAUUAAUGAUGUUUCCUUUUUUGGUGUUCAUUAUUUUUGUUUUUUAUUUGUUUGUUUUAAGAAUACAGUUGAUGCUUAAAAUUAUUAUAAUGACACAAAUAUGCAUGUGUAUAGUCAAAAACAGUAUGUCUUAUUUAUUGCAGUUGGAAAUUCAAGAAUAAAUCAAAGACUCGACAAAAAUUCAAGACUGAAAUAGAGUAUUUGCUCUUAAAGUUGGGCACCUGGCAGUUCUCAAAUAAACAAGUAAUUGGACCGGAUUUUGAUUCAAAUUCAAAUUGGAAAUGGUUUUAUUCCAGGACUUGCAGCUGCAUUUUUAUUGUUAACAAGAAGAGAAGAUAUGAGAGAGCGCACUGCAAGUUUUGAAAGGGGGAGUUAGUUGGCACCGUAUGAGGGAAAGACUUCUUCUUUCGAUGUCGCAGUGAAGAGAAGAAGAAAACAACAACGGUGAAGAAACAAAGAGCGAUGGAAGAAGGAGAAGAGGGUGGCGACGACAGGGACGGUCACAGAGAAGGAUGCCAGAUCGAUAGAGAAAAGAAGAGAAAUGAGGCGACGGCAGUGAUGGAUGCCACCGCCGCUGUUGGAUCCGUAGAACUGUGUCCAUUUACCUAUCAAUCGGCAUUCUGCAGAGUUAUCCAUUUGAGAGAUGGUGUCAAGCUUUGGAGGGAAUAAAUUGAAAAAGCUAAAUCAGCUCUGGCUAAGGAUGAGGCUGAGCUUUCAAAAUUGAAAAAAAGGAGAAAGCACAUUUAAAGAUAUUGUGCAACAGCGAAGCGGUAUCCUUUUUCUUUCAUGCUGCUCAUGACUGACUCUGAACUUGAAUGUAAUGAAAAACAGCUGCCAGAUGCACCAGACAGGACACCGGCUGCCAAUAUUAAAGGUGGCUGAAGCAUUGCAUUUUUAGGCACUGUCUAAGUCUCUAAGACAUUAACUGUAGACGAACUGCUUUAUUUAAAGGAGGAGUUUACACUUUUGGAGCCAAACAAAAAUGGAACCAUUAGCCUAGAAAACAUCAAAGCGGCCUCGAUGAAAAACGCAACAAAUGCUAUGGAGUCGCACAUUAUUGACUUUUUUGGAUCAAUUCCAUGAUGCAAAUUCCAUGUCACUAGAGUUUAGUGUUCUUAAGGAUCUCAUUGAGAUUUUAGAGAGCAAAAGUAGCCUCAUUGAAGAGGCAGGGAGCUUGCAAUGUCUCCAAUCAAAUUGGUAGGUAUCGAUACUGCUUGCUAUAUUAGCCAGUAGUAUCUAAGACUUUUUUUCAUUUGAGAUCUAGCAUCAUAUGGUUAUGUUACCUUAGCCUCCUAAUACUUGUGGUGAACGGGUUAUAGUUGUGUCCUACUUAUUGAUGGAGGGAAAGAACUUUUAAGAUUUUCAAUUAAAAGAUAAAAGAACUUUUAGGAUGCCAUCUCUAAUUAAUAUGUUCGUUUGAUGGUAUAGCAGCAAGUACAACUUGAUUUUGUUCCUUUACUAAAAAAAAGUAUUAAUUGAAAUAUAUAAAAUGCAUAGAAUUCUCUGUAGCUCCAUAGCAUCAAUAAAAAAAUACUGAAUGAGAAAUUUCAACAAUCCAUGUCCCACUAUCAAAACACUGAAUGAGCAUUUUUAACA